ACGGGGGGGGCAAGCGUUGUUCGGAAUUACUGGGCGUAAAGGGCGCGUAGGCGGCCAGCGCAAGUCAGUUGUGAAAUCUCCGGGCUUAACUCGGAAAGGUCAACUGAUACUGCGCGGCUAGGGUGCAGAAGGGGCAACUGGAAUUCUCGGUGUAGCGGUGAAAUGCGUAGAUAUCGAGAGGAACACCUGCGGCGAAGGCGGGUUGCUGGGCUGACACUGACGCUGAUGCGCGAAAGCCAGGGGAGCGAACGGGA
rnacentral:rRNA from 1 species